GGAGAUGUAGCUCAGUAGUAGAGUGCUUGCCUAGCAUGCAUGAGGUCCUGGGUUCAAUUCCCAGCCCCA
rnacentral:tRNA from 1 species